GACGAACGCUGGCGGCGUGCCUAAUACAUGCAAGUCGAACGGUCUUUUCUAUGGAAGCUUGCUUCCGCUGAGAAGAUAGUGGCGAACGGGUGAGUAACACGUGGGUAACCUGCCCAUAAGAGGGGGAUAACAUCCGGAAACGGGUGCUAAUACCGCAUAGUUUUCUUGAUCGCAUGAUUGAGAAAGGAAAGACGGCCUUUGUGCUGUCGCUUAUGGAUGGACCCGCGGCGUAUUAGUUAGUUGGUGAGGUAACGGCUCACCAAGACGAUGAUCCGUGCCGGACCUGAGAGGGUGAUCGGCCACAUUGGGACUGAGACACGGCCCAAACUCCUACGGGAGGCAGUAGUAGGGAAUCUUCCGCAAUGGACGAAAGUCUGACGGAGCAACGCCGCGUGAGUGAAGAAGGUUUUCGGAUCGUAAAACUCUGUUGUCAGAGAAGAACAAGUCGGAGAGUAACUGCUCCGGCCUUGACGGUAUCUGACCAGAAAGCCACGGCUAACUACGUGCCAGCAGCCGCCGUAACAC
rnacentral:rRNA from 1 species